UACCUAGGGGGCAAGCGUUGUCCGGAUUUAUUGGGCGUAAAGAGCGUGUAGGCGGCUUUACAGGUCCGUUGUGAAAACUCGAGGCUCAACCUCGAGACGCCGGUGGAAACCGUAAGGCUAGAGUCCGGAAGAGGAGAGUGGAAUUCCUGGUGUAGCGGUGAAAUGCGCAGAUAUCAGGAAGAACACCCGUGGCGAAGGCGGCUCUCUGGGACGGUACUGACGCUGAGACGCGAAAGCGUGGGGAGCGAACAGG
rnacentral:rRNA from 1 species